UACGGAGGGGGCUAGCGUUGUUCGGAAUUAUUGGGCGUAAAGGGCGCGUAGGCGGCCGGAUAAGUCUGACGUGAAAUCCCUCGGCCUAACCGGGGAACUGCGUUUGAAACUGUCCAGCUCGAGUCCGGGAGAGGGUAGUGGAAUUCCCAGUGUAGCGGUGAAAUGCGUAGAUAUUGGGAGGAACACCGGUGGCGAAGGCGGCUACCUGGACCGGUACUGACGCUGAGGCGCGAAAGCUAGGGUAGCAAACAGG
rnacentral:rRNA from 1 species